CACGUAGGCGGAUUGGCAAGUCAGAUGUGAAAGCCCGGAGCUUAACUCCGGAACUGCAUUUGAUACUGCUAGUCUUGAGUGUGGUAGAGGGGGGUGGAAUUCCCGGUGUAGAGGUGAAAUUCGUAGAUAUCGGGAGGAACACCAGAGGCGAAGGCGACCCCCUGGGCCAUAACUGACGCUGAGGUGCGAAAGCGUGGGGAGCAAACA
rnacentral:rRNA from 1 species